GGACCGUAUGAUACACUGGUAAUCUUAACAGCUCACCUCUUCAGGAUGCUGACACUGCUCCAUGUGCCCGCAAUUGUCUUGCGUGUAUGAUUACACUAACGACGUCGCCCACCACGGCGGAAGUGUUUUGCGCACGUACGUUUCAGCAUGAAGCCCGCAGGUGGACGUAAAUUGUAGAAGGCAGCCAGUGGGGGAAAAGAUCAUGGUCAUAGGUCAUGUGGCUCCUGGAGCUCCAAGUGGGCUCCCUUGUGGAGUCACUUUUCAGAACACACACACACAGUUUGCUCACAGAACCAACGAGUAGGAUGUUGCUCGAAUGCUGAGAAAAUGGCGUAACAGAUACAAAUAUCGUGUGACACAGUAUGACAAUAAAAACAUUUUCACGAGGGAUGCAUGAAACACUGUCGCAAUAUUGUGUGCAUGAACCAUUGUCACACAAGCCGUGGGGGCACACCGCCUCGGACGCACUUUGGGAAGCAUAAAACACAGCGAUUGCUAAUGUGAUUGAUGCUUCUUUUUCCUUUUGCCCGUGAUGACACAUCUUCGGCCGAAAUGAGACUACCUUCGGCCGUAUUGAGACUUUGGCCGUAAUGAUACACUUGGGGAUCACAUGAUUUUCCUCCGUAAUAAGACUUUGGCCGUAAUGAGAUGUUACCCUCACUUUGCAUUGAUUGGUUUUCAAAGUUCACUCACUCCAGUGCCUCUUUUUUAAAUUUAUGAAUGCAUGAACAUUAUUCUUUAUUCCCUGCAUGCUCGUCUAGAAUAUUUUAUAUUUUUAGCGUGCUAACGUUAAAAACUUGUGCUGUUCUUAAGUUGAUUCUGUUUAGUAAGCCGAUUCUGAUUAUUAUGAAUAAUGUAUUUCUCAUUU